rnacentral:rRNA from 1 species
GGACUACCCGCUGAACUUAAGCAUAUCAAUAAGCGGAGGAAAAGAAACCAACAGGGAUUGCCUUAGUAGCGGCGAGUGAAGCGGCAAAAGCUCAAAUUUGAAAUCUGGCACUUUCAGUGUCCGAGUUGUAAUUUGAAGAAGGUAUCUUUGGGUCUGGCUCUUGUCUAUGUUUCUUGGAACAGAACGUCACAGAGGGUGAGAAUCCCGUGCGAUGAGAUGUCCCAGACCUAUGUAAAGUUCCUUCGAAGAGUCGAGUUGUUUGGGAAUGCAGCUCUAAGUGGGUGGUAAAUUCCAUCUAAAGCUAAAUAUUGGCGAGAGACCGAUAGCGAACAAGUACAGUGAUGGAAAGAUGAAAAGAACUUUGAAAAGAGAGUGAAAAAGUACGUGAAAUUGUUGAAAGGGAAGGGCUUGAGAUCAGACUUGGUAUUUUGUAUGUUACUCUCUCGGGGGUGGCCUCUACAGUUUACCGGGCCAGCAUCAGUUUGAGCGGUAGGAUAAGUGCAAAGAAAUGUGGCACUGCUUCGGUAGUGUGUUAUAGUCUUUGUCGAUACUGCCAGCUUAGACUGAGGACUG